GGGCUCCGGGCGGCCGUGACCCUGCUGGAGUGCGGGGGGGACCUCCAGCCCCCCGGGGUGUCCCUGACUCUGCUCUGCCGCGGGAAUGGAUUCACGUUUGGAAGUUAUGAUAUGAUGUGGGCCCGUCAGAGCCCCGGGAAGGUGCUGGAAUGGCUCGCAGGGAUCGACAGCAGUGGCAGCAGCACCCGGUACGCGCCGUCAGUCAAGGGUCGGUUCAGGAUCUCCAGGGACAACGGGCAGAGCUCGGUGACGCUGACCAUGAACAACCUCAAGGACGAGGAUUCCGCCGUUUAUUUCUGCGCCAGAGCUGCGUAUGGUUGGGCUGUUUUUAAGACCAAAGUUGGGAUCAAUGCCGAGUGUUGA